rnacentral:rRNA from 1 species
AUUGAACGCUGGCGGCAUGCCUUACACAUGCAAGUCGAACGGUAACGCGGGGCAACCUGGCGACGAGUGGCGAACGGGUGAGUAAUGCAUCGGAACGUGCACAGUAGUGGGGGAUAGCCCGGCGAAAGCCGGAUUAAUACCGCAUACGACCUAUGGGUGAAAGCGGGGGCGCGAAAGACCUCGCGCUAUCUGCGCGGCGGAUGUCAGAUUAGGUUGUUGGUGGGGUAAAAGCCUACCAAGCCUGCGAUCUGUAGCUGGUCUGAGAGGACGACCAGCCACACUGGGACUGAGACACGGCCCAGACUCCUACGGGAGGCAGCAGUGGGGAAUUUUGGACAAUGGGCGCAAGCCUGAUCCAGCCAUGCCGCGUGCGGGAAGAAGGCCUUCGGGUUGUAAACCGCUUUUGUCGGGGAAGAAAUCUUCUGGGCUAAUACCUUGGGAGGAUGACGGUACCCGAAGAAUAAGCACCGGCUAACUACGUGCCAGCCGCCGCGGUAA